GACGAACGCUGGCGGCGUGCUUAACACAUGCCAGUCGAACGGAAAGGCCCUGCUUUUGUGGGGUGCUCGAGUGGCGAACGGGUGAGUAACACGUGAGUAACCUGCCCUUGACUUUGGGAUAACUUCAGGAAACUGGGGCUAAUACCGGAUAGGAGCUCCUGCUGCAUGUUGGGGGUUGGAAAGUUUCGGCGGUUGGGGAUGGACUCGCGGCUUAUCAGCUUGUUGGUGGGGUAGUGGCUUACCAAGGCUUUGACGGGUAGCCGGCCUGAGAGGGUGACCGGCCACAUUGGGACUGAGAUACGGCCCAGACUCCUACGGGAGGCAGCAGUGGGGAAUAUUGCACAAUGGGCGGAAGCCUGAUGCAGCAACGCCGCGUGCGGGAUGACGGCCUUCGGGUUGUAAACCGCUUUCGCCUGUGACGAAGCGUGAGUGACGGUAAUGGGUAAAGAAGCACCGGCUAACUACGUG
rnacentral:rRNA from 1 species